AUUGAACGCUAGCGGGGUGCUUUACACAUGCAAGUCGAACGAGUGGCGGACGGGUGAGUAAUAUAUCGGAACGUGCCCAGUCGCGGGGGAUAAAUACUCGAAAGAGUGGCUAAUACCGCCUACUCUUGGAGCGGCCGAUAUCGGAUUAGCUGGUUGUGGGGGUAAAGGCUCACCAGGGCAACGAUCCGUAGCUGGUUUGAGAGGACGACCAGCCACAUGGGGACUGAGACACGGCCCAGACUCCUACGGGAGGCAGCAGGGGGGAAUUUUGGACAAGGGGGGAAACCCUGAGCCAGCCAGCCCGUGUGUAUGAGAAGGCCUUCGGGUUGUAAAGUACUUUUGGCAGAGAAGCGGUAUCUGCAGAAUAAGCACCGGCUAACUACGUGCCAGCAGCCGCGGUAAUUC
rnacentral:rRNA from 1 species